CCUACGGGUGGCAGCAGUGAGGAAUAUUGGUCAAUGGACGCAAGUCUGAACCAGCCAUGCCGCGUGCAGGAAGACGGCUCUAUGAGUUGUAAACUGCUUUUGUACGAGGGUAAACGCAGAUACGUGUAUCUGUCUGAAAGUAUCCUACGAAUAAGGAUCGGCUAACUCCGUGCCAGCAGCCGCGGUAAUACGGAGGAUUCAAGCGUUAUCCGGAUUUAUUGGGUUUAAAGGGUGCGUAGGCGGACGGAUAAGUUAGAUGUGAAAGCCCGGGGCUCAACGUCGGAAUUGCCGCUGAUACUGGUCGGCUAGAGAGUAGUUGCGGUAGGCGGAAUGUAUGGUGUAGCGGUGAAAUGCUUAGAGAUCAUACAGAACACCGAUUGCGAAGGCAGCUUGCCAAGGUACAUCUGACGUUGAGGCACGAAAGCGUGGGGAGCGAACAGGAUUAGAUACCCUUGUAGUC
rnacentral:rRNA from 1 species